GGGGAAUAAUGAGAUUUGGAAUCUGUUGUAGGAGGACUACCAAAUAAAAGAUCCACAGGCAAUUCUGGUUCCCUGCCCAACAUCAUUAAACUUGGACUGGUUCCUAUGCUCUCAUGAACUGAAGAUCUGUAUGCUAAUAGUACAAAAGGAGUUCUGUUCAAGGGACCUACAAUGUCUAGAGCAACUCUUUCCAAAGGAGCACCAACAAUAUAUUGUUUCAUUGGAGCUUUAGGAGUGCAGGUUGUCGGAUGACUGGAUUGACAGGGUUGACAUUCUUGGCAAAAUUUUGCCACUGAUUGUUUAUUUCCAACCCAUUAAAACCUCUGUCUGACUUUGGCUAAAGUUCGGUUCACUCCUAAGUGUCCACUUGUAGGGUCACUAUGCAACAUUGUUAGGACCUGAGGUAUGUACUUUUCAGCCUUUUGAGAAAAAUGACGCAACUCAUCAUCACUAGAAAAUGGGGUAGCAGCAUGCACCACUUGCAUUCUGACCCCUCCAUGUUUUUGAAAAACUCUGUGCUUCCUACCAUUUUGGAAGGCUUCAAAUUCAAGAGCAAGUUGGACAGCAUCUUCAACAAACUUUGGUUUACCGUGGUGGACUGCCCAUUCAAUUUCAUGGUCAUUCAGUGAAUCAAUAAAACAGUCACGAGCCAAUUGUUCUCGUACUUCAGAUGAUGCAUCUGGAUAUGCAUAUCUAACCAACUUUUUAAUUUCAUGAGAAAGGUUUCUUCAGAUCCUUAAAAAUCAUCUCACCCGCACACUCAGCAGUACGCUCUUGACCCUGAGGGCUGUGAGAUGGAGACAGAGCCAUUCCCUGGGCUGCAGGUUGGGCGGACCUUGACCAUGCGUCCAUGGUCGAAUGUGAACAUGCGCCAAUAGGCGGCUUAUCCAUCGAGGAAUCUUGAGCGGACUUACCUGCCGUCUCACCUGAUGGUCUCCCAGGAUAAUUAUUCUCUUGCGAACAUACCUGACCAUUUAUGACAGUAUUGAACUUAGCCCUCUGAGAAAAAACAUGAUUUCAUCUGACAUGUGUCAGGACCAAAGGAAUCAGCCUCAACUAAAUUAUCAGUGGAACCAAGCUCGUAUGAACGCGCACAUCUAUUUGAAGUACCCAGACCACCCGAGUGUAUCCUAUUGUUAACUGACGGUGACGUCUGGACGUCAGAAAACGAUACAAGUGAAUUCCGUCUGGAAUCGCAACUCCGUGGCCCUUUAGUACUAACUAUGGUUUCCAAAAUGUUCACCCUUUCCACCAACGUAGUACUCAGCUCACUGAUCUGACUUUGAAUGCUCUUCAGGCAUUCCGACAAAGAAUCACUAUAAUUUGUACUGACUCCAGACAUUGUUCUGGAACACUGUGUAGAUUCAGAUUGCUCACUUUUCUCAAACAAAUUAGAUUUUACAUUAAAUUGUACUUCCCCACUGGGAGUGGCAUCUAAGGUAAUAAG